GACGAACGCUGGCGGCGUGCCUAAUACAUGCAAGUAGAACGCUGAAGGAGGAGCUUGCUUCUCCGGAUGAGUUGCGAACGGGUGAGUAACGCGUAGGUAACCUGCCUGGUAGCGGGGGAUAACUAUUGGAAACGAUAGCUAAUACCGCAUAACAGUAGAUGUUGCAUGACAUUUGCUUAAAAGGUGCAAUUGCAUCACUACCAGAUGGACCUGCGUUGUAUUAGCUAGUUGGUGAGGUAACGGCUCAACAAGGCGACGAUACAUAGCCGACCUGAGAGGGUGAUCGGCCACACUUGGACUGAGACACGGCCCAGACUCCUACGGGAGGCAGCAGUAGGGAAUCUUCGGCAAUGGACGGAAGUCUGACCGAGCAACGCCGCGUGAGUGAAGAAGGUUUUCGGAUCGUAAAGCUCUGUUGUAAGAGAAGAACGAGUGUGAGAGUGGAAAGUUCACACUGUGACGGUAUCUUACCAGAAAGGGACGGCUAACUACGUG
rnacentral:rRNA from 1 species